rnacentral:misc_RNA from 1 species
GCAACCCCUUCUUGGUUUUCAACCUUUGACAUGAGAAGGAUAUUCUUAGCAUUUUUCCCGAGCAACUUCCGUACUUCAACGAGAUCUGAUCCUUUUCGUACAAAAGAUAGAGCAAUCAUGUCAAUUUGAUUGGGAACUCCCCACUUCAAAAUAUCUUCCUUGUCUUUCUCUGUCAAAGUUGGAAGAUCCACUAUCACUCCAGGAAGAUUAACAUUUUUCCUCUCACCAAGAACUGCAGAGUUCUCACAACGACAUCGAACCAAACCCGCUUUAAUGUCACAUGAUAGAACUGUAAAUGAGAUUGUGCCGUCUGCGCAAAGUAUAACCAUCCCAGGCUUGACAUC